AGGAUUUGUUCUGGGAGGUGCGUUUGGUGUCUUCACAGCUGGCAUCGACACAAACGUUGGGUUUGACCCCAAGGAUCCAUAUCGCACACCAACUGCAAAAGAGGUCCUCAAAGAUAUGGGGCAGCGAGGUAUAUCCUAUGCAAAGAACUUCGCCAUUGUGGGCGCCAUGUUCUCCUGCACCGAAUGUGUAGUAGAAUCUUAUCGUGGGAAGUCAGACUGGAAGAAUAGUGUUAUUAGCGGCUGCAUUACAGGAGGAGCAAUCGGCUUCAGAGCUGGUUUGAAGGCAGGGGUUAUCGGCUGUGGUGGAUUUGCCGCUUUCUCUGCUGCAAUUGAUUAUUAUCUACGGUAACAGUGGAAUCCCUUGGGAGCAAGUUUCCCUUUUGUUCCAGUGCUGCUGCUAAGAGCCUGCAUCACGGCAGAAGAACCAUCAGGCUUACCUUUCCACUGCUUUUGGAGUCCUGAUCAGCGCGAGCUGGAUGGUGUUGGCCGCUUUUCCUGAAUGACUAACAAUAAUCUGGCUCUAAGCCCUGGCGUGCUGCUUCAGGCAGACUUGUGGGAGUAUGCAAGGAUGGAGCCAGGCGCAGUGAGCAGUAUCUCCAGGAUGGAUCAGCUGACUGUCAGUUUCCAGGAAACAAGCCUGGACUCUGAGUUUUUUUGAUCCUUUGGGUCUGAUUUUGAUUAAGUUUGUUGCUAGCAUCAAAAGAAGCAGGAGGACAAUCUUCAAAAGAAAUGCAGUGAUUUAGGUUACCGUAUAUUUGAAUGUGCUGCAAGUGUUUAACAGUUAGCAGUUUGCAGCUUGCCAUACUGUUGGGGAGAGGUAAGAUCCUGUGGAGAAGUAAGUUUGUUCCAGGCUUUUCUUAAAAUACCAGCUGAAGACAAACCACCAUCUGUACAACUUGUCUUAUUUCAAGUACAGAGCGAGCCAGAUUUCUUUACCAUGUCUUAAAGGGAAAAGCAAAAAGGAAUCCUUAGCCUUAGAACCAUGCGGUUACUGGCAGAUGAACAAAACCGUUUAAGGGGGGAAAAAAGAGGUUGUUGCAGAAGUAUAAUUCUCUGUAGCCACUUGGCUAGCCCGAUUUAACCUCGCUGUGGGAGUACAAAUAAUCUUGCUACUGCUUUAACUGCCACAGGCUCACACCAUUAGUUCCAGCAGUUUGAUAGUGAGACUAGAAAGCAGAGUUGUGAGAAUAAACUGCUGUUAGACAG